GAAGCCGGAAUUGCUAGUAAUGGCAGGUCAGCAUACUGCCGUGAAUACGUUCCCGGGCCUUGUACACACCGCCCGUCACACCAUGAGAGUUGGGAAUACCCGAAGCCGGUAGUCUAACCGCAAGGAGGACGCCGCCGAAGGUGGGGUUGAUGAUUAGGGUUAAGUCGUAACAAGGUACC
rnacentral:rRNA from 1 species